rnacentral:rRNA from 1 species
UACGUAGGGCGCAAGCGUUGUCCGGAUUCACUGGGUGUAAAGGGUGCGCAGGCGGGAGUGCAAGUCAGAGGGGAAAUCUCACGGCUCAACCGUGAAACUGCCUUUGAUACUGCAUUUCUUGAGUUAGGGAGAGGUUGAUGGAAUUCCAGGUGUAGCGGUGAAAUGCGUAGAUAUCUGGAAGAACACCGGUGGCGAAGGCGGUCAACUGGCCCUCAACUGACGCUGAGGCACGAAAGCGUGGGGAUCAAACAGG